GAUGAACGCUGGCGGCGUGCCUAAUACAUGCAAGUCGAGCGAACAGACGAGGAGCUUGCUCCGCUGACGUUAGCGGCGGACGGGUGAGUAACACGUGGAUAACCUACCUAUAAGACUGGGAUAACUUCGGGAAACCGGAGCUAAUACCGGAUAAGAUAUUGAACCGCAUGGUUCAAUAGUGAAAGACGGUUUUGCGGUCACGUAUAGAUGGAUCCGCGCCGUAUUAGCUAGUUGGUAAGGUAAAGGCUUACCAAGGCGACGAUGCGUAGCCGACCUGAGAGGGUGAUCGGCCACACUGGAACUGAGACACGGUCCAGACUCCUACGGGAGGCAGCAGUAGGGAAUCUUCCGCAAUGGGCGAAAGCCUGACGGAGCAACGCCGCGUGAGUGAUGACGGUCUUCGGAUCGUAAAACUCUGUUAUUAGGGAAGAACAACUGUGUAAGUAACUAUGCCCGUCUUGACGGUACCUAAUCAGAAAGCCACGGCUAACUACGUG
rnacentral:rRNA from 1 species